rnacentral:rRNA from 1 species
CACGUAGGGUGCGAGCGUUGUCCGGAAUUAUUGGGCGUAAAGAGCUCGUAGGCGGUGUGUCGCGUCGGCCGUGAAAACCUGCAGCUUAACUGUGGGCUUGCGGUGGAUACGGGCAGACUUGAGUUCGGUAGGGGAGACUGGAAUUCCUGGUGUAGCGGUGAAAUGCGCAGAUAUCAGGAGGAACACCGGUGGCGAAGGCGGGUCUCUGGGCCGAUACUGACGCUGAGGAGCGAAAGCGUGGGGAGCGAACAGG